GGGAGGGAGAGAGAAAGAGCUCCAUGACCGUGAGAACAGGGCGUGCUAAGUGACUCCAGUCAGGCUUCCUAAGCAACCAAUUGGAAGAAUAGCGG